UCACCCCCAUGAUGUCUAGCACUGGGCUCUGACCUCCCCUGAGGAUGUGGUGCCCCUGGGACCUCUGACACCCAUGGGUCUGAGAGGUCC
rnacentral:snoRNA from 1 species